rnacentral:lncRNA from 1 species
GCAUGGAGUAUUAUUCUUACAAUUAUAGUAUCUUCUUUAUAUUUUCUAUUUUCACAAAUUUUUUAUGAUUUUUUUUUUCAUAUUAACCUAUACUCAUAUGAAAUAAUCAAAGAAUGUAGGUAACAAAUUCUAUUAUUCUCACAAUUAUAGUCAUAUAUUCUUAUAUUUUUUUUUCAAAAUUUUAGGUAAAUUUCACUAAGUUAUUAUGAUUUUUUCUAAUAAUAAUCCAUAGUUUUAUGAAAUAAUAAUUUAAU